rnacentral:rRNA from 1 species
GGAAUCUUGCGCAAUGGGCGAAAGCCUGACGCAGCAACGCCGCGUGCGGGAAGAAGGCCUUCGGGUUGUAAACCGCUUUCAGCAGGAAAGAAAAUGACGGUACCUGCAGAAGAAGGUGCGGCCAACUACGUGCCAGCAGCCGCGGUGACACGUAGGCACCAAGCGUUGUCCGGAUUUAUUGGGCGUAAAGAGCUCGUAGGCGGUUCAGUAAGUCGGGUGUGAAAACUUUGGGCCUAACCCAAAGCCUGCACUCGAAACUGCUGUGACUAGAGUUCGGUAGGGGAGCGGGGAAUUCCUGGUGUAGCGGUGAAAUGCGCAGAUAUCAGGAGGAACACCGGUGGCGAAGGCGCCGCUCUGGGCCGACACUGACGCUGAGGAGCGAAAGCGUGGGUAGCAAACAGGAUUAGAUACCCUGGUAGUCCACGCCGUAAACGUUGGGCACUAGGUGUGGGUCUCUCCUAACGAGAUCCGCGCCGUCGCUAACGCAUUAAGUGCCCCGCCUGGGGAGUACGGUCGCAAGACUAAAACUCAAAGGAAUUGACGG